rnacentral:rRNA from 1 species
GAUGAACGCUGGCGGCGUGCUUAACACAUGCAAGUCGAACGAGCGAGAGAGAGCUUGCUUUCUCGAGCGAGUGGCGAACGGGUGAGUAACGCGUGAGGAACCUGCCUCAAAGAGGGGGACAACAGUUGGAAACGACUGCUAAUACCGCAUAAGCCCACGGGUCGGCAUCGACCAGAGGGAAAAGGAGCAAUCCGCUUUGAGAUGGCCUCGCGUCCGAUUAGCUGGUUGGUGAGGUAACGGCCCACCAAGGCGACGAUCGGUAGCCGGACUGAGAGGUUGAACGGCCACAUUGGGACUGAGACACGGCCCAGACUCCUACGGGAGGCAGCAGUGGGGAAUAUUGCACAAUGGGGGGAACCCUGAUGCAGCGACGCCGCGUGGAGGAAGAAGGUCUUCGGAUUGUAAACUCCUGUUGUUGGGGAAGAUAAUGACGGUACCCAACAAGGAAGUGACGGCUAACUACGUGCCAGCAGCCGCGGUAAAACGUAGGUCACAAGCGUUGUCCGGAAUUACUGGGUGUAAAGGGAGCGCAGGCGGGAAGACAAGUUGGAAGUGAAAUCUAUGGGCUCAACCCAUAAACUGCUUUCAAAACUGUUUUUCUUGAGUAGUGCAGAGGUAGGCGGAAUUCCCGGUGUAGCGGUGGAAUGCGUAGAUAUCGGGAGGAACACCAGUGGCGAAGGCGGCCUACUGGGCACCAACUGACGCUGAGGCUCGAAAGUGUGGGUAGCAAACAGGAUUAGAUACCCUGGUAGUCCACACCGUAAACGAUGAUUACUAGGUGUUGGAGGAUUGACCCCUUCAGUGCCGCAGUUAACACAAUAAGUAAUCCACCUGGGGAGUACGACCGCAAGGUUGAAACUCAAAGGAAUUGACGGAAGG